CUCUUAUUCCGAGUGGUGGAGAGUUAAGGCUCUGUGAAACCACGGCAACCCCGCAUAGCGGAAGGUGCCAAUCUAAGCGAGCAAUCGAACAAUAAGAG
rnacentral:ncRNA from 1 species